AUGUGGCGGCUUAUGCUUUGGUGGUGGCUUAUUACCCUUAUGUGAGUCCUCUACAACCUCUGUAGCUAAAAGACGUCUGAGGGGUGGUUUGUGCUCUGGUGGUGGCUUGUGCGGUGGUUUGUGCUCGGAUGAUGGCUUUUGAGGUGGAAAAUUCUUAGGAGGUGGUUUCUCUCCCUUACCCUUAAAUGGCGGUUUUUGGAAGUCCUCUACGCUAUCCUCGCUUAAUAGGUGCCCAUGUGGUGGCUUGUGUGGUGGUUUGUGCUCUGGUGUUGGCUUUUGAGGUGGAAAAUUCUUAGGUGGUGGCUUUUGAGGUGGAAAAUUCUUAGGAGGUGGGUUCUCUCCCUUACCCUUAAAUGGUGGUUUUUGGAAGUCCUCUUCGCUAUCCUCACUUAAUAGGUGACCAUGUGGUGGCUUGUGUGGGGGGUUGUGCUCUGGGGGUGGCUUUUGAGGUGGGAAAUUCUUAGGUGGUGGCUUUUGAGGUGGAAAAUUCUUAGGAGGUGGGUUCUCUCCCUUACCCUUAAAUGGUGGUUUUUGGAAGUCCUCUUCGCUAUCCUCACUUAAUAGGUGACCAUGUGGUGGCUUGUGUGGUGGGUUGUGGUCUGGUGUUGGCUUUUGAGGUGGAAAAUUCUUAGGAGGUGGUUUCUCUCCCUUACCCUUGUAAGGUGGAUCAUGGACAUCCUCUACAUUAUCCUCACUUAACAGAUGACCAUGUGGUGGCUUGUGCUGUGAGUGGUGGUGAUCAUAAUGAUCAGCUAAUGAAGAAGAAAUGGAGAGAAUCACGACUGCUCCAAUAAGGAGCAACACUCGCAAGUUUUUAGAAGAGAACAUGUUUGA
rnacentral:lncRNA from 1 species